rnacentral:lncRNA from 1 species
CCUGAAAACUACACAUGUUUGAAACUUGGGAAAAAUCCUGAUUUUGGCUACACAAGUUUUGAUCAUUUUGGCUGGGCAUUCCUUUCUUUAUUCCGUCUGAUGACACAGGAUUCCUGGGAGCGUCUGUACAGACAAACUAUCCGUUCAUCUGGGAAGAGCUACAUUUUAUUUUUUAUAGCUGUCAUCUUUUUAUGCUCAUUUUAUCUCUUCAACCUGAUAUUGGCUGUAGUAACUAUGGCAUAUGAAGAGCAGAACAGAGCUACUCUUGCUGAAACACAGGCAAAGGAAAAAUUACUUCAGGAUGCUAAAAAAGUUCUAGAGAAA